CAAGUGUGUAUAUUGUAUACAGCCAGAGGUGUAAUUCAUGGGCAGAGAGUGUGACGUUAUGCCUCAGUAAGACAAGACACAUUCUGUUAUACGUGUAGUUGGAACUAUUUUUGUCCCAUUUCCGAGGAAUGACGUGAUCAACUUUGUUUGAUCCACGUACUUUCUUUGAGUCACUUAUAGCUACAAUUGGCAACGGAAGCUAACAAUGACGCAUCAUGGUCUAUGCUGGAUUGGGACUGAUCCUUGUCUUCGUACUAGGGUCUUAUGCUUCAUGUCCAACAGGCAAGUGUGGACAGGACUGCACAUCAUCUUGUAUCGGUACUUGUGAUUAUGACUGCCACAAGGACAACUGCUCUUGCAGAAAUUGUAAAGCUGGGAUGUACGGAGAAAACUGUACAUUGAAUUGUUCAAGUAAUUGCUACAGCGAAGGACGAACAAAACUCUGUAAAAGAAUUACAGGGCACUGUAGUGAUGGGUGCGUCAAACGUUAUUGUUUACCCAUGAACAUUUGCAACACGCCGUGCGGAAAAAACUGUACGGAUUGUAUUUUCGAUGAUUGCAAGUGCACUGGAUGUACGGCUGGUCAUUAUGGCUACUUUUGUGAAUGUGAACAUUGUCCUGAGACGGUCAAAAAGUGUAAGUAGAGUGUUGUUAAAGCCAUUUUGAGGUACUUAUUCUAGCAGUUUCAUGCAUGGAAAAGAAACAGCCAGUAAGAAACUGCUUACAAUAGAUACAUGCAUGAUACUAUUUGCCCAGGUCAAUCCUUAUGCAAUUAGAUUGAGUGUUGCUGUAUAAUAUAGUUUUAAUAAAAGAAAGGAGGGGGUAUUUAAUAAAGUCUCACAACUUUUGAUAUUAUAUAUCUUUAGUGAGAUAAAUAGAUAAACAGUGUAACAGGAAGCUCUGACUGAGAUUUGCAUUAGCCGUUGAAUCUCAAAUGACCAUAGAUUUUGUUACUUUAUUGGCCCAAGCGCGUUACAGGUCACGUCAUUCCCAUGAAAAGAGAAACUCAUUACUAUCUUGUGAAUCAUAUUAGAAUCAAUUCCAGAUUCGGCGAAGCAAAUUCCUAAUCAAACAUCCAGUGUCAACUUGGUUCAUUUCAUUCCGUCCCUUCUGCAAAAUGUAUGUACUAUCGGUGGUUGUUGACGACAACGUAUGCGUCCUCCAUGGAUAUCCCAGAUAUGUUCGACGGGUGACAAAUCUGGAUUGAGUGAUGGUGGUUAUGCACUCAGUAAUAAUACGAGCCCUGUGUGCUCUUGAGUUGCCAUCUUGAAACACAAAACAAUGUCCGUGUCUGCGAGCAAAUUUUCAACACGUGUGACCCAAUAUGUCACGUCACGUAAUUUGUAUCGACACGUCUGUGAAUAACAUUUAAAGGUGUUCUGCCAGUCACAGUGUUCCCACCCCACACCAAUACUGAGUCACCCUAAAACAACCGUUCUGUCAAAAUGAAAAUGUUAGUUGCGUCUACGCCGCACUCUGUUGGACAUGUGAAUCAAGUCAAAAAUAGACCUUGAUUCGUCCGAAAACAUAACGUUUGCCCAACGAUAAAUGAAUGGUCCAGCGCUGUCGCCCUUGACUCCACUGGCGUCUUGCAGUACUGUGACGGACUGU